UAACACAUGCAAGUCGAGGGGCAUCAGGACUAUAGGGGGCUUUCUUUGCUGGCGACCGGCGCACGGGUGAGUAACACGUAUCCAACCUGCCCUUUACUCGGGGAUAGCCUUUCGAAAGAAAGAUUAAUACCCGAUAGCAUAAUGAUUCCGCAUGGUUUCAUUAUUAAAGGAUUCCGGUAAAGGAUGGGGAUGCGUUCCAUUAGGUUGUUGGUGGGGUAACGGCCCACCAAGCCUUCGAUGGAUAGGGGUUCUGAGAGGAGGGUCCCCCACAUUGGAACUGAGACACGGUCCAAACUCCUACGGGAGGCAGCAGUGAGGAAUAUUGGUCAAUGGGCGCUAGCCUGAACCAGCCAAGUAGCGUGAAGGAUGAAGGCUCUAUGGGUCGUAAACUUCUUUUAUAUAAGAAUAAAGUGCAGUAUGUAUACUGUUUUGUAUGUAUUAUAUGAAUAAGGAUCGGCUAACUCCGUGCCAGCAGCCGCGGUAAUACGGAGGAUCCGAGCGUUAUCCGGAUUUAUUGGGUUUAAAGGGAGCGUAGGUGGACUGGUAAGUCAGUUGUGAAAGUUUGCGGCUCAACCGUAAAAUUGCAGUUGAUGCUGUCAGUCUUGAGUACAGUAGAGGUGGGCGGAAUUCGUGGUGUAGCGGUGAAAUGCUUAGAUAUCACGAAGAACUCCGAUUGCGAAGGCAGCUCACUGGACUGCAACUGACACUGAUGCUCGAAAGUGUGGGUAUCAAACAGGAUUAGAUACCCUGGUAGUCCACACAGUAAACGAUGAAUACUCGCUGUUUGCGAUAUACAGUAAGCGGCCAAGCGAAAGCAUUAAGUAUUCCACCUGGGGAGUACGCCGGCAACGGUGAAACUCAAAGGAAUUGACGGGGGCCCGCACAAGCGGAGGAACAUGUGGUUUAAUUCGAUGAUACGCGAGGAACCUUACCCGGGCUUAAAUUGCAGUGGAAUGAUGUGGAAACAUGUCAGUGAGCAAUCACCGCUGUGAAGGUGCUGCAUGGUUGUCGUCAGCUCGUGCCGUGAGGUGUCGGCUUAAGUGCCAUAACGAGCGCAACCCUUAUCUUUAGUUACUAACAGGUCAUGCUGAGGACUCUAGAGAGACUGCCGUCGUAAGAUGUGAGGAAGGUGGGGAUGACGUCAAAUCAGCACGGCCCUUACGUCCGGGGCUACACACGUGUUACAAUGGGGGGGUACAGAAGGCAGCUAGCGGGUGACCGUAUGCUAAUCCCAAAAGCCUCUCUCAGUUCGGAUCGAAGUCUGCAACCCGACUUCGUGAAGCUGGAUUCGCUAGUAAUCGCGCAUCAGCCACGGCGCGGUGAAUACGUUCCCGGGCCUUGUACACACCGCCCGUCAAGCCAUGGGAGCCGGGGGUACCUGAAGUACGUAACCGCAAGGAUCGUCCUAGGGUAAAACUGGUGACUGG
rnacentral:rRNA from 1 species